CAUCUGCAUCAUCACCCUGAGUGUUGUUGAUCCUCCAGGUCAGACAAGAAAAUCUGUUGGAGUGAUGCUCAGUGUGUCACUUCUUGUUGCUGUGCUGCUUGCUGUUGCGAUCAUAUUAAUCUACAGAAGAUGCAAAAAACAGGAUCCAAACAAACCAGAGGACCAGAGUUUGUUGUCCUGAUUCACUGUUUUUUGUUUUCAGUAAUUUCUUCCCAAGCUGGGAAUUUUAUUUUACAUGUCUUUUUCUGACACAUGCCACACUCAUUAAGCUAGGCCAUGUGUGAUUAGCUGAGUUGUGUUUGGCAUGUUGGAUUCGAGGCAUGUCCCCCUCCUUGAAUUGCCACCUUAUCGUGGUGGAGGGGUUUGUGAGCUCAGACGAUCCUGGGAGCUGAGUUGUCUGGAGCGUUCAGCUCUUGGUAGGGUCUCCCAUGACAAACAGGUCCCAGGUGAUGAGCCAGACUAAGAGCAAUUCAGUAACAUUUAACCAUGAUCAAAUUAGACUUUCUGUAACGUUGUUUUUGUACAUUUUGGUUGUAUAGACAGGUUAAAAUACAGCCAUUUGUCUCAGUCUGUUACCUUUUGUCUUUAAUGUGAUUGUAUUAUGUCUGAGUAAGGGUCUGUGUCCACAGGAAGCUGUUUUUCAUUUUAAUAGCUCCUCUCUCAAACACUUAUUGAUGCCAGCUGCCUGUUAGCAUAAGCUUAUACUCCUUCACAGUUGACAGAGUCUGGGUAAAAAUGGCUGAUUUUGUUUUUUUUCAUAGUUUGUCCAAAAACUAGAACAAAAACAGGUUCCUGUUGAUAAAAACCUUUAAUCUGCAACUCCACAUGUUUGUAGUCCAGCAGUUUUCAAACAUUGAGUCUCUGCUUGUGCAAAAACAAACAAGUAUCUGCUGAUGCUGUGACCUGGGAAUAAAAUGUAAUCUCCAUCAUUAUUUUUUUUAAAGAUUAAUUGACAAUGAUUCAGUUCCUGAAAUGAGACACAGGAGAAAAUAUUUGAGAACUGCUGAUUUAGUGGAUUGAGAAGCACAAAACGUAGAAGUUAUUAUACUGUAUAUGUUUACAACAUGGAAAUUAACUGUGUACAAAGCCUGACAUGUUUGCGAAUGUAUUAACGCUAACUUGUGGUGUUUUGUAUUGAAGUGAUUCUGUUUGAGUUCAGAUAUCUGACAUUAAAGUACUGUCAUGGUU